GGUUCGAUCAUGGCUCAGAUUGAACGCUGGCGGGAUGCUUUACAUGCAAGUCGAACGGCAGCACGGACUUCGGUCUGGUGGCGAGUGGCGAACGGGUGAGUAAUGUAUCGGAACGUGCUCUGGUAGCGGGGAUAACUACGCGAAAGCGUAGCUAAUACUUAUUACUGCCCUUCGGGAAAGCGGGGACCUUCGGGCCUCGCACUAUUAGAGCGGCCGAUAUCGGAUUAGCUAGCCAGGGUAACGGCUCACCAAGGCGACGAUCCGUAGCUGGUUUGAUGAGGACGACCAGCCACACUGGGAUUGAGACACGGCCCAGACUUUACGGGAGGCAGCAGUGGGAAUUUUGGACAAUGGGGGGAACCCUGAUCCAGCCAUCCGCGUGUGCGAUGAAGGCCUUCGGGUUGUAAAGCAAUUUUUGGCAGGAAAGAAACGGCACGGGAUAUAAUACCUCGUGCAAUCGACGGGUACCUGCAGCACAAGCACCCCGCCAAUUGGCGUGCCAGCAGCCGCGGUAAUACGUAGGGUGCAAGCGUUAAUCGAAUCUUCAUUAGCGCAAAGCGUAGGCAGGCGGUUCGAAAGAAAGAAAGACGUGAAAUCCCAGAGCUUAACUUUUGAACUGCAUUUUUAACUUACCGAGCUAGAGUGUGUCGAGGGAGGUGGAAUUCCGUGUAGCAGUGAAAUGCGUAGAUAUGGUGAGAACACCGAUUAUGAAGGCGCAGCCUCUGGGAUAACACUGGAGCUCAUGCACGAAAGUGGAGCAAACAGGAUUAGAUACCCUGGUAGUCCACGCCCUAAACGAUGUCAACUAGCUGUUGGGGCCUUCGGGCCUGUAGCAGCUAACGUGUUGACCGCCUGGGAGUACGGCCGCAGAUUAAAUCAAAGGAACGACGGGGACCCGCACAAGCGGUGGGUGAUGUGGAUUAAUUCGAUGCAACGGAAAACUUUACCUACCCUUGACAUGUCUGGAAUCCCGAAGAGAUUUGGGAGUGCUCGCAAGAGAACCGGAACACAGGUGCUGCAUGGUUGUCAGCUCGUGUCGUGAGAUGUUGGGUUAAGUCCCGCAACGAGCGCAACCCUUGUCAUUGCUGCCAAGGAAAGGGCAAUUUAAUGAGACUGCCGGUGACAAACCGGAGGAAGGUGAUGAUGCCAAGUCCUCAGUGGCCUAUGGGUAGGGCUUCACACGUCAAGAAUGGUCGGGACAGAGGGUCGCCAACCCGCGAGGUGGAGCCAACCAGAAACCCGAUCAGUCCGGAUCGCAGUCUGCAACUCGACUGCGUGAAGUCGGGAAUCGCCAGGACCGCAGGAUCAGCAUGUCGCGGUGAAUACGUUCCCGGGCCGUACACACCGCCCGUCACACCAUGGGAGUGGGUUUUACCAGAAGUAGUUAGCCUAACCGUAAGGAGGGCGAUUACCACGGUAGAUUCAAGGAUCAGCAAGUCAAUACAGUAACUUCC
rnacentral:rRNA from 1 species